rnacentral:rRNA from 1 species
AGCAGCCGCGGUAAUUCCAGCUCCAAUAGCGUAUAUUAAAGUUGUUGCAGUUAAAAAGCUCGUAGUUGAAUUUCGGGGUUAGUAGGUUGGUCAUGCCUCUGGUAUGUACUGGUCUCACUGAUUCCUCCUUCCUGAUGAACCUUAAUGCCAUUUAUUUGGUGUUUUGGGGAAUUUGGACUGUUACUUUGAAAAAAUUAGAGUGUUUAAAGCAAGCUAACGCUUGAAUACAUUAGCAUGGAAUAAUGAAAUAGGACGUUCGAUCCUAUUUUGUUGGUUUCUAGGAUUGACGUAAUGAUUAAUAGGGAUAGUUGGGGGCAUUAGUAUUCAAUUGUCAGAGGUGAAAUUCUUGGAUUUAUUGAAGACUAACUACUGCGAAAGCAUUUGCCAAGGAUGUUUUCAUUAAUCAAGAACGAAAGUUAGGGGAUCGAAGACGAUCAGAUACCGUCGUAGUCUUAACCAUAAACUAUGCCGACUAGGGAUCGGAUGAUGUUAAUUUUUAAUGACUCAUUCGGCGCCU